UUUGGUUUUAAAAAAAUGGUCACUCAUCAUUCAUCACUCGUUAUUCAUCACCUAUCACUUAUCACUCAUCACUCAUUACUCAUCACUCAAAAUAUCCCCAAUUUCCUACCCACCUGUUUGGCACAUAUUUUCAAUUUCUCAUCACUCAAUUUUUUCUACUUUUUGUGGGACCCAUACCUGAGCACUAUGUCAUAAAUUCUGUUAGCCUACCCGCCUUCCCCCUCACUCUCUUCAUUUCAUUCUCUUCCACCUUCAGUCACCAUUGCCCUGUUACUCUCACUGAAGCUAUCCUCAUUCUCUUUCAUUUCUCAUGUACACACACAUCAACAAGAACAAUCCUAUCCCAAACCUACGGCCAAACCAUCAUAAACAUACAAACACAAAUGAAUACAAACAUAAACUCAUAGGUACCCACAGAUGUUCAAAUCAAAACCCACAAAUACCCAAAUCAAAAAUCACAAAUACAGACCUUAUGCCCAAAUCAAAUCCGAACCCAAACCACAAAUCUGAACCCAUAACAGCUACCCACAUCUCAGAUCUAAACCCACCACAGCCACACCACAAAUCUGAACCACACACACACACCCACACCCAUGUCUCAAAAAUCAAAACCCUAUAACCACAUCUCAAAUCCGAACUCCGCACCCAUAAGAUAGAGAGAUAAUUUUUUUUUUAAUCGCCUGGGUAUUGUUGUUCGCCUGGGUUUCGGUCUCCGCUUGGGUUUCAGUCAUGAAAAAAGACUUUCUUCGCUCCAGAAGUUCGAUCAACGAAUGGAAAUUUAUGGGUUUUUGUUUCUGGGUAUAAAUUUAUGCAUGUAUGAAAAUGGUGGAGUGGGUCUAAAGAAGAAAGAAAGAAAGAAAAAGAAAGAAGAAGAAGAACCAAAAAAAAAAACAUUGGAGUGGGUCUGAAGAAGAUGGAAAAAGAAAGAAGAAGAAGAACCAAAAAAAAAAAAUCUGAAGAAGGAAAAAGAAAGAAGAAGAAGAAGAACCAAAAAAAAAAAAAAAAAACGUUGGAGUGGGUUUGAAGAAGAAGAAGAACCAAAAAAAAAAAUCUGAAGAAGGAAAAAGAAUGAAGAAGAAGAACCAAAAAAAAAAACGCUGGAGUGGGUUUGAAGAAGAAGGAAAAAGAAAGAAGAAGAAGAACCAAAAAAAAAAUCUGAAGAAGGAAAAAGAAUGAAGAAGAAGAACCAAAAAAAAAAAAAAAAAACACUGGAGUGGGUUUGAAGAAGAAGGAAAAAGAAAGAAGAAGAAGAACCAAAAAAAAAAUCUGAAGAAGGAAAAAGAAUGAAGAAGAAGAACCAAAAAAAAAAAAAAAAACGUUGGAGUGGGUUUGAAGAAGAAGGAAAGAAAGAAAAAGAAAGAAGAAGAAGAAGAAAAAAAAAACAUUUGGGGUGGGUCUGAAGAAGAAAGAAAAAUAAAGAAGAAGAUGAGGGGAAAAAAAAAAGCCUUGGAGCAGGUCUGAAGAAGAAAGAAAAAGAAAGAAAGAAAGAAGGAGACAAUGCCGUUGGUGAUGGGACAAGUCACUGGUUGAAUGGGUCCCACUGAGACAGUUUAUUACAAAAGUGCCACUGAAUCAUGGGUGAUGAGUCUUGAAAACAAGGAUAUUGUGUUUUCAUUUUUGGUCAUCAUCACUCAGUUUUUUGAGUGAUUGGAUGACCAAAACCGGGUGACCAACUAUGGAUGAUGGUAUCCAAACAAAAAUUUUUCUGUGGGUCCCACAAAUUUUGGAUGAUGAGUGAUGAAAACACAAUCAUAUCACUCAAAACUCUCUCAUCCAAACAACCCCUUAGCUUCAUUCAAUUCAUCAAUUGUGAGCCUUCCAAAAGUCCAAUAAUAUCACUUUGCACGUCAAGGUGUCCAGCGCUACAUUCUCGACAAACACCCAUUGGGCUCGAUUAAUUCUUUGUUUGCAAUACAUUUUGUGUACUACUAUGCUCGGUAUUUUCUCUCGCCUUGUAAAGAGAGGUGACGCUGGGUCAAACUGGUUGUAUAUAUGGGUGUACGGUCAGUAUGGGCAAGGACCAGGUGGGUUAUUUUCAUGGAGUGGGGCUUUCUCUUGUUGUAUUCACCAUGGUCCAUGGCAAAAUUAUAGAGCCUAGGUAUUUGGGUCCAGUCCUUUUAUAGGGAUAGCAUGCAUUACCAGUUCUUAGUUUGAAUUUUAAUUUACUUUGGAUUAUGAGGAAACACUUGAUCGAGAAGCAAGCCUAGAUCAAGAGUUUCCUCAUCAACCCCUUUUCCUGGUUUUAUGUAUGAACUGCACAUCACACUCAUCAUGGUAAAGUUCUAUUUUUCGUCGAUAA